AUACGGAGGAUCCAAGCGUUAUCCGGAUUUAUUGGGUUUAAAGGGUGCGCAGGCGGGAGAUUAAGUCGGCGGUGAAAUUUUGCAGCUCAACUGUAAAAGUGCCUUCGAAACUGGUUUCCUUGAGUGUAGAUGAAGUAGGCGGAAUUUGUGGUGUAGCGGUGAAAUGCAUAGAUAUCACGAGGAACUCCGAUUGCGCAGGCAGCUUACUAAACUACUACUGACGCUCAGGCACGAAGGCGUGGGGAUCAAACAGGAUUAGAUACCCUGGUAGUCCACGCAGUAAACGAUGAUUACUAGCUGUUUGUGAUACAAUGUAAGCGGCUGAGCGAAAGCGUUAAGUAAUCCACCUGGGGAGUACGUUCGCAAGAAUGAAACUCAAAUGAAUUGGCGGGG
rnacentral:rRNA from 1 species